UUGCACGCUGGCGGCAUGCCUUACACCUGCCAGUCGCACGGCAGCACGGGUGCUUGCACCUGGUGGCGAGUGGCGAACGGGUGAGUAAUACAUCGGAACAUGUCCUGUAGUGGGGGAUAGCCCGGCGAAAGCCGGAUUAAUACCGCAUACGAUCUACGGAUGAAAGCGGGGGACCUUCGGGCCUCGCGCUAUAGGGUUGGCCGAUGGCUGAUUAGCUAGUUGGUGGGGUAAAGGCCUACCAAGGCGACGAUCAGUAGCUGGUCUGAGAGGACGACCAGCCACACUGGGACUGAGACACGGCCCAGACUCCUACGGGAGGCAGCAGUGGGGAAUUUUGGACAAUGGGCGAAAGCCUGAUCCAGCAAUGCCGCGUGUGUGAAGAAGGCCUUCGGGUUGUAAAGCACUUUUGUCCGGAAAGAAAUCCUUGGCCCUAAUACGGUCGGGGGAUGACGGUACCGGAAGAAUAAGCACCGGCUAACUACGUG
rnacentral:rRNA from 1 species